AGAGUUUGAUCCUGGCUCAGAUUGAACGCUGGCGGCAUGCCUUACACAUGCAAGUCGAACGGCAGCGCGGGAGCAAUCCUGGCGGCGAGGGGCAAACGGGUGAGUAAUAUAUCGGAACGUGCCUUAAAGCGGGGGAUAACUAUUCGAAAGACUAGCUAAUACCGCAUACGACCUACGGCUGAAAGUGGGGGAUCGCAAGACCUCAUGCUCUUACAGCGGCCGAUAUCUGAUUACCUAGAUGGAGGGGUAAAAGCCUACCACGGCGACGAUCACUAUCUGGUCUGAGAGGACGACCAGCCACACUGGGACUGAGACGCGGACCAGACUCCUACUGCAGGCAGCAGUGGGGAAUUUUGGACAAUGGGGGCGACCCUGAUCCAGCUAUGCCGCGGGUGUGAAUAAGGCCUCCGGCUUGUAAAGGACUUUUGCUCGGAAAGAAAUCGCUCUGGCUAAUACCUGUGGUGGAUGACGGCACCGGAAGAAUAAGCACCGGCUAACUACGUGCCAGCAGCCGCGGUAAUACGUAUGGUGCAAGCGCUAAUCGGAAUUACUGUUCCUAAAGCGUGCGCAUGCGGAUGUGCAAGACAGAUGUGAAAUCCCCGGGCUUA
rnacentral:rRNA from 1 species